rnacentral:rRNA from 1 species
UACGAAGGUCCCAAGCGUUAUCCGGAUUUAUUGGGUUUAAAGGGUGCGUAGGCGGCUUAUUAAGUCAGUGGUGAAAGCUCCAUGCUUAACGUGGAAAUUGCCAUUGAUACUGAUGAGCUUGAGUAGAUUUGAAGUGGGCGGAAUGUGUCGUGUAGCGGUGAAAUGCUUAGAUAUGACACAGAACACCGAUUGCGUAGGCAGCUCACUAAACUCUUACUGACGCUGAGGCACGAAAGCAUGGGGAUCAAACAGG